rnacentral:lncRNA from 1 species
AAUCGGUGUAUGUGUUCAUGCAACCUCACACGUAUUUGCCUCCAAGUUUACCACUAAUAUAUAUAUUAAUCAGUAUUUCUCCAUACUUACCACAAAGAAUAAUAACACAUUUUGCGCUCUGCAAUGUUUUAAAUGGAACAUAUUUUAUUCAGUAUGUCAAUGCCAGCAUGUGACAUCUCAGUUGAAUCCUUGACCUAAACCAACAAAUAGCGGAAUGCGAUCAAUUCCAAAUGAAUUGAUACAAUUAUUUCCAUAGAAGUCGACGAGAUUUGAUUGGAUUUGUACUAAUUGAGAUGUGCCUUAAGCCUCCAUCCACUUCACAAUGGCCCACUCAAAGGACUGUUUUCUACGUGACUACACCUACAUAAAAUCCACAACCUACAAUUCAAGCGAGGACAAACGAUUCUUCUCGAAUUUAGUCGUUUUCCUUCGCCGUAAUGCGAGAGAGCAAUAACGCAAAAUGGUCACGUUUCUAAUAAUGAGGAAAGAAGAUAUUGUCCUAGAUUUUCUGCUGCUGCUGCUGCUGCUGGAAAGGCACUGAUGCAGUGAGAAGCCGGUGAAGGUAAAAUCAUAAUUAAUAUGACGGUCGUGGACUUUAUUUUACAUUCAUGUGGCUUACGUUAAUUGUGUCAGCUCGUAUACUGCGUUUGGUAUUGAACUGUGGAAAAAAAAUACGGAUGACGUGAUGGAGUAAAGUGCAAAUUCGCACUAUACAUGACUGAAACACCUGCUUCAGCUGCUGGU